AGCUGGUCUGAAGAUAGUGAGGCAUCUCACUUGAUUGUUCACAGUUACAGAUUGAACUCCCUGUUCUACUCUUUCCCCUUUCCCACCACUGCACUUGACUAAUCUUAA
ensembl:misc_RNA Y_RNA Y RNA